GACGAACGCUGGCGGCGUGCUUAACACAUGCAAGUCGAGCGGUAAGGCCCUUUCGGGGUACACGAGCGGCGAACGGGUGAGUAACACGUGGGUGACCUGCCCUCAGCUCGUGGGAGUAAGCCUGGGAAACCGGGUCUAAUACCGGAUAUGACUCCAUGACGCAUGUUGUGGGGUGGAAAGCCUUGUGCGGCUGAGGAUGGGCCCGCGGCCUAUCAGCUUGCGUGGUGGGGU
rnacentral:rRNA from 1 species